GUUGUAAAGGAAAAUGAAAGCAUGAAUGC
rnacentral:piRNA from 1 species